rnacentral:rRNA from 1 species
GACGAACGCUGGCGGCGUGCUUAACACAUGCAAGUCGAACGAAGAGGCGAACGGGUGAGUAAUACGUGGGUAACCUGCCCUCCUUUUUGGGAAAAGCCUUGGUAACGGGGUCUAAUACCGAACACAGGGGGAUGGGCUCGCGGCCGAUCAGCUAGUUGGUGGGGUGAUGGCCUACCAAGGCGGUCACGGGUCGCCGGCCUGAGGGGGUGCACGGCCAAGUAGGGACUGAGAAAAGGCCCAGGAUCCUAAGGGGGGCAGCAGUGGGCAAUAUUGGACAAUGGGCGAAAGACUGAUGCAGCGACGCCGCGUGGGGAAUGAAGGCUGUCGGGUUGUAAAACUCUUUCGCUAUCGGACGGGUAGGUGGAGAAGAAGCGCCGGAUAACUACGUGCCAGCAGGCGCGGUAAUAC